rnacentral:sRNA from 1 species
GUUUCAAUUCCUCAUAGGCAGGCUAUCGGCUCACGGGUACACCGCCAGAAGAACACCCGAACACCGAG